rnacentral:lncRNA from 1 species
ACCUUUUAUAGCCAGCUGACUGUUUCAUCCGGAAGCCUUUCAUCAGCUGAACUUUUGCUCUCCGGCGUCUUGACUGGAUUUAGGAAUUGUCAAUAGAUCUUGGAUGCCCCUCAUUCUUCAUUUCAAGAAAUAGUCCUGUGUCAGGGAUGUCCUGAAGCGGAUGGGAACGACGUGCUCCUCCGAGGACUCGUCUUUGGUUUCUUCUGGUGUCUCGAUAUGCAGGAGUCCAUCUUCACCAAGUGAGCAGGUCAAUGAAGCUGGAUCCAGGUGAUCAGGAAGCUGCACGGCCUGAACAAACUCUUGAGCCUGGGACUCAGCAGAUGACGAAGAAGCGUUUUUCUCAGCCCUCUUUCCGGCCAUCACCUCCAGCCUUCGUCCAGACACCGUGACACUCACAUCCUCUGGAGAAAAGCCUCGGGUGUCCAGAGUAAGAGACACGUCCUGCUUCUUCUUCUGCUCUGGGUUCUGCAUUAUUUGGGCUCUACGGUGGAGAAAAUCCUCUCUGAAGCUGGAAAGAGGCAUGCCGCGUCUGGGCCACAAGAAGUAGGAGUUCUCAAAGAAAGGGUCGUCCAUGAAAGCUCUCUCAGAGGAAGACAUUUCUCUCUCUUGAGAUUUUGAGUGCUCUUAGUAGAGUGAUCUGCUUGCUUCAGGUCUCGCCUGUUUAUAUUUCUCCAACAGGGUCUAGAACCUCCCAUUGGUGAGGUCAUGAGUAGAAAUUUGAAGCCGUAAGUAAACAGAAUGUCUGCUUAGACUG